rnacentral:rRNA from 1 species
GAGGGGUGCAAACGUUAUUCGGAUUAACUGGGCGUAAAGGGUGUGUAGACGGUAUGUUAAGUUUGUCGUUAAAUCUUCCGGCCUAACCGGAAGCUCGCGAUGGAAACUGGCAUACUUGAGGAUGGAAGAGAGAAGCGGAAUUCUCGGAGUAGCGGUAAAAUGCGUAGAUCUCGAGAGGAACACCGAUGGCGAAGGCAGCUUCUUGGUCCACUCCUGACGUUGAGACACGAAAGCAUGGGUAGCAAACAGGAUUAGAUACCCUGGUAGUCCAUGCUGUAAACGAUGAUCACUGGAUGUCAGCUUCGCUUUGCGAAGUUGGUAUCGAAGCUAACGCGUUAAGUGAUCCGCCUGGAAGUACGGUCGCAAGAUUA